rnacentral:rRNA from 1 species
CUACGGGGGGCAGCAGUGGGGAAUAUUGGACAAUGGGCGAAAGCCUGAUCCAGCAAUACCGCGUGUGUGAAGAAGGCCUGCGGGUUGUAAAGCACUUUCAAUUGGGAAGAAAAGCGAGAGGUUAAUACCUUCUUGUCUUGACGUUACCUUUAGAAGAAGCACCGGCUAACUCUGUGCCAGCAGCCGCGGUAAUACAGAGGGUGCGAGCGUUAAUCGGAAUUACUGGGCGUAAAGCGUGCGUAGGCGGUUUAGUAAGUCAGAUGUGAAAGCCCUGGGCUUAACCUGGGAACUGCAUUUGAAACUGCUGAACUAGAGUGUAGUAGAGGGAAGUGGAAUUCCGGGUGUAGCGGUGACAUGCGUAGAUAUCCGGAGGAACACCAGUGGCGAAGGCGACUUCCUGGACUAACACUGACGCUGAGGUACGAAAGCGUGGGUAGCAAACAGGAUUAGAUACCCUCGUAGUC